rnacentral:rRNA from 1 species
GUAGUAGCAAAUACUCUAGCGAGGCCCUGGAGGACUGAGGUGGAGAAGGGUUUCGUGUGAACAGCCGUUGCACACGAGUCAGUCGAUCCUAAGCCCUAGGAGAAAUCCGAUGACGAUGGCGCCGCCCGACAUCGCACCGUGUGAGGCCUCGCCACCGCAACGGGCGAGAGCCGCGAGACCGCGGCGGCGCCGUCGGGCGAAAGGGAAUCCGGUACCCAUUCCGGAACCCGGUCGCGGAACCGUCUCACGUCGUGCCCCCGGCUUCGGCCGGUAGCUCGUCGGGGUAACCCAAAAUGUCCCGGAGAAGCCGUCGGGAGGUCUGGGAAGAGUUUUCUUUUCUGUUUGAGCGUUCGGGUUCCCUGGAAUUGCCUAGCGCAGAGAGAGGGAAUGGAGCGCGUAGAGCACCGCAGUUGCGGCGGUGUCCAGACACACCCGCUCGGACCUUGAAAAUCCGGGCAAGGGCCACGUGGAGGUUCGCGCCGGUUCGUACCCAUAUCCGCAGCAGGUCUCCAAGGUGAGCAGCCUCUAGACGGUAGAUUAAUGUAGGUAAGGGAAGUCGGCAAAUUGGAUCCGUAACUUCGGGAUAAGGAU